CAGGGUCCCAGACAGUGUAGGAGUGUCAACAUCAGGUUGACUGUGAAAAUAAGGAAUUAAUAAUGCAAGUCAGGAUACAACCUUCAGACAACAUGUCUUUUUUAACGCCCACAUAACCAAGAAAGGUACUACAAGUUCACCAUUCAGACAAAGACCAAUCCUCUUAAAUCCAUGUGCAUAAGAACACACCAUAACGACCAUUCUUUAUAUACAUAAUAGAAAUGAAAUGGAAAUGUGUUUGCAUCCAGCUUGUAGCUUUGAAGCUUUUAAGAACAGAUACAUAAGGACAUAUUCAUGAUGGAGUUAUAUAGAUGCUGUUUGUUUUUCUUAAAGGCAUCAGAGGUGUUUAUGGUAUAAAUAAAUUAUCUAGAUAUUAAGGUGGCAUGCAAGUAAAACAAAAUGUAAGAAAGAGAAAUCACAUUUUUACACAUUAAGCAUCUUUUGUAUAAAUAAAUAUCGACUGUGUUUUGAAAUUCUCAGUGUCAUUGUGAUUGUAUGAUUAAUGGGUAAUGUGUUGUUGAGCGGUUUAGUGCUGUAGCAGCACUUUGAAAUGUAUGCUUCCUUUCAGUGUCAACAUUAAUUUAUGGCAUAUGAUAAUAAAAGCAGAAGAACUGCAAAAGGGAACAGUAUAAAUGUAUCUCUCUGUUCUGGCAUUGUAAUGAUUACCAUACAUACAUUAUACAUAGCAAAUCACUUUGCGAUUUCUAGUAUCUGCUUGAUUUAAAAAGGAUGUGCUGCUCUUUUACAGCCUGCUGUAUGUGCAUUAGCAGGACAGUCGUAAAAUCUAUGCUUACAUUGCACUGCUGACCAAAUGUGCAGGGCAACAAUAAGAAAAUACUCAAUGCGGUACGGUUUACUUUCCUCCGAGAUAGUGGGCCUCAUAAAUAAUAUGACUGAACAAACUUGCAAAUGUGCUUCAGUUUCUUUUUCAAAGGAAGUAUCAGAAAUGGGACAAUAAUGUCUGGAUCGCUGACUCAGAGAAAAAAAGUCAUUUGGACGGAGAGGAGUGCGUGUUCCGCUACUCUGUCACUAGGGCCAGUGGGAGGGGCACUGCAGGGGCGCUGGACAAUUACCACAAGUCACAGGGCAUCACCUCAAUCAGAAGUGGCCUGGAGCAGCGCACUUUCCUGUGGCUCUAUUUCUGGGAUGGUGCAAUAAAAGAGCUUCACACUGAAGCCCCUAGACCUCUCAUGGACGUCAUUUUGGAGCCCCUACAAGGACACGGCCCCACACUGGAACAGGUCUACUGGGGAAAUGUGUGAAUGUGUGUGUGUAAUGGAAAAGGCGGGAUUAGAUCCAUCAUACUACAAUCCGGUUAGAAGGUGCAGGUUUUCAGUGUGUGUGUGUGUGUGUGUGUGUGUGUGUGUGUGUGUGUGUGUAUUUUUGUGUAUGUGUAUUAUGAGAUAUUUCAAUAUUAUACAUAUAGCACACUGAAUGUCCAUUUUACAUGUACUGUAGUGUUGGAUCUUUUUUCUGAGAAGAAGCUACACAACUGUUUAAAACUGUUGUUGUAGCAAAAAUAUGCUAAUGCAAUCCCCAAGUCACCAAAUCAUAAAUUCUCUCUCCCAACCAUCAAAGGUUUUCAGAAAUCCCUGGCAACCACAUAAACAACCCACAGCUUGUGUGGCGGUGUGUGGUUGUGCAUGUGUAUAAUAAAGACAGUUAGACAGACA
ensembl:lncRNA